ACGCACGUAGGACGUAAGAUCCUGAGAUAACUGAAUGUCUUGCCAGUGCCUGUGCGGUCAUGGGGGAGUGGCUAGGAAUUCUAUCAAAUAUAAGCUGUGUUAAGGCACUGGGAGCACUGGUCUAAACCGGGCGAAGGCAUUGGUGAAUGGACAGCUGGCCGGAGUCUCCACCUUCCCACACUGACUCCCGUGACUGGACCUCGUGGUGACAUCCAGGAACUUCCCCGGACCAUACACCACUCACAGCUUCCCUGCUGUACAGGGAUCACGGUCUCCAAUGUGCCACCUGCAGCCACUCUACAUACGCUCUGCUAACCCUCCUGUCAUCAGAAGUGCUGCCCUGAGUGGCCCGACUGCUCACCCAGAGAUGGCUGUGAAAGAGGAGAUUCCGGAACCAGAUCUCAGCUUCCACUUUGGCGGCGUUGUGGCUAAUACAGUCACCCACCCUCCCUUGUUUUAUUUCUUUCACUGGUAGAACCAGGGUAAUAUUGAAACCUAUGGCACCAGCACCCUGUGAGAUGUGACUAAAGCAGGACAUGAAGGCUCUUGGGAAAGUUAUUUUGGGUAAAGGAACAGACGUCAGAAUUGCUAACACUAUUGAUGUUGGAGCUGAGUCUUAAUUCCGUAGGUUGUCCACGGCACUCUGCCCUCUGGGCAUCGUAAUGGAGAGAUUUUGCUUUUCUAACUUAUCCCUCCUCCUACUGCUUCAACCUCUUUUGGAGGGGCCUAAAUGUAAUCCAACUGUAUCUUAUUAUUUUUCUAUUUUACUUGGAUGUUCUUCUCUUUAUCCUCCAUUUCUAAUCUCUUGUUACUUCUCCCCUGAACUUGUAUUCUUAAGAUCUACCCAUACUGAUAGUUGGACACAUGAAUUUAGUUUAUUUCUUAAGAUAAUUGA